AAUAGAUACCCAGGUAGUCCACGCCGUAAACGAUGAGUGCUAAGUGUUAGGGGGUUUCCGCCCCUUAGUGCUGCAGCUAACGCAUUAAGCACUCCGCCUGGGGAGUACGGUCGCAAGACUGAAACUCAAAGGAAUUGACGGGGGCCCGCACAAGCGGUGGAGCAUGUGGUUUAAUUCGAAGCAACGCGAAGAACCUUACCAGGUCUUGACAUCCCAUUGACCGCUAUGGAGACAUGGCUUUCCCUUCGGGGACAGUGGUGACAGGUGGUGCAUGGUUGUCGUCAGCUCGUGUCGUGAGAUGUUGGGUUAAGUCCCGCAACGAGCGCAACCCUUGUUCUUAGUUGCCAUCAUUUAGUUGGGCACUCUAAGGAGACUGCCGGUGACAAACCGGAGGAAGGUGGGGAUGACGUCAAAUCAUCAUGCCCCUUAUGACCUGGGCUACACACGUGCUACAAUGGACGGUACAAACGGUUGCCAACCCGCGAGGGGGAGCUAAUCCGAUAAAACCGUUCUCAGUUCGGAUUGUAGGCUGCAACUCGCCUAC
rnacentral:rRNA from 1 species